GCUUAACACAUGCAAGUCGAACGGAGUUUUAACGGAAGUUUCGGAUGGAAGUUAAAACUAGUGGCGGACGGGUGAGUAACGCGUGGGUAACCUGCCUCAUACAGGGGGAUAACAGUUAGAAUGACUGCUAACACCGCAUAAUAUAGCGAAACCGCAUGAUUUUGCUAUCAAAUAUUUAUAGGUAUGAGAUGGGCCCGCGUCUGAUUAGCUAGUUGGUGGGGUAAAAGCCUACCAAGGCGACGAUCAGUAGCCGGCUUGAGAGAGUGACCGGCCACAUGGGACUGAGACACGGCCCAAACUCCUACGGGAGGCAGCAGUGGGGAAUAUUGGACAAUGGGGGAAACCCUGAUCCAGCCGACGCCGCGUGAGUGAAGAAGUAUUUCGGUAUGUAAAGCUCUAUCAGCAGGGAAGAUAAUGACAGUACCUGACUAAGAAGCCCCGGCUAACUACGUGCCAGCCGCCGC
rnacentral:rRNA from 1 species